rnacentral:misc_RNA from 1 species
UGGCUUAUUUGGAUCGGUUCUGAGCCCGUCGAAGCCGUUUUCAACAGGCGCAUGUUGUUAGUUUGUGAUGAUUAAGAUGACAGAAACGGACAAGAGUCGAGAUGUGAGGCGUGGAGCGAGUCGGUCUCUAGAAAGAUUAAGCAAUCUGGAGACAGGCUUAUCUCUGGUUUGAACGGUGAGGUGGUGGUGGUGGUGACUUCGUAUCUUUGGAGAAAUCGAAUAAGGAGAGAAUUAAGAAAUUGAGUGCUGUUAAUAGAUUACAGAGCACCUUCGAGCAACAAGGAGAACUAUGAAAUGGGUUGCAACUUAGCUGAUAGAGAAGAGGCCCUUCCUUCCCAAGCUCCUUCUAUCAGUGGUAGUGGUGGUGCCAAUAAGAG